UUAACUGUGAUUUGUCGCAGUUAAGAGUCGCAGUUAAGGAACGUAGGUCGCGUAUCCCUCCGCCACUGCUAUUUCUGCGAUUUCUGCUACUUCCGCGAUUUCUGUGACUUAUGCUACUUCUGCGAUUUCUGCUACUUCUGCGAUUUCUGUGAGUUAUGCUACUUCUGCGACUUACCACCGUAUGGAAAAGUUACAUCUGCCCACACAGAAAAUUGCAUCUCAACAAAUCUGCCAUUGGUACCCGAACUACAUUUCAGUCACUCAGUAAAUUGAUAACUCAAAAUAUCAUUGUCAACACAUCUGGAGAAAUUGCCACUGCGUCUUUAGACCGUUUUCGUCAGACGAGAGACACAGUUCUGACUCUUGAUUACU